rnacentral:rRNA from 1 species
UACGUAGGGUGCAAGCGUUGUCCGGAAUUACUGGGCAUAAAGCGCACGUAGGUGGUCCGCUAAGUCGGAUGUGAAAUUCCCCGGCUCAACCGGGGAACGGCAAUCGAUACUGGCGGUCUUGAGGUCCGGAGGGGUGAGUGGAACUCCUGGUGGAGAGGUGAAAUGCGUAGAUAUCAGGAGGAACACCAGUGGCGAAAGCGGCUCACUGGCCGGAAUCUGACACUGAGGUGCGAAAGCUAGGGUAGCAAACGGG